GUGGAUUUGAGUUUUUCUGAUGACAGUAAAGCCACUUCUGAACGCUAGAAUUUUUCAGUGGUUAUUUUUUCAGGAGUUACAGCCUUCACUUAAAAAGAACAUGCAAUUCCUUUAUCCAUAAAUGAAUAUCAAAAAUAAGAACAAAACAUCAACACUUGCUCAUAUGUCUUUUAGUAUAUUUACCCCUGUAUUACUAGUAUUAAAGUCAUUUUAGUUUCAAACCACCAGUCUAAUUGUAAACAUGAAGUCAAAUAUGAGUCUUCUGAGGGACUUUCUGUUUUGAAUCCACCAUUUCCUUCACAAGAAAUGUCUGUACCAAGCAAGAAAUAUGACAGUUGUUAUCCAUUCGAU
rnacentral:lncRNA from 1 species